AGAACGAACGCUGGCGGCAGGCUUAACACAUGCAAGUCGAGCGCCCCGCAAGGGGAGCGGCAGACGGGUGAGUAACGCGUGGGAACAUACCCUCCGGUUCGGAAUAGCUCAGGGAAACUUGGAUUAAUACCGGAUACGGCCUAGCGGCGAAAGAUUUAUCGCCGGAGGAUUGGCCCGCGUUCGAUUAGCUAGUUGGUGAGGUAACGGCUCACCAAGGCGACGAUCGAUAGCUGGUCUGAGAGGAUGAUCAGCCACAUUGGGACUGAGACGCGGCCCAAACUCCUACGGGAGGCAGCAGUGGGGAAUAUUGGACAAUGGGCGCAAGCCUGAUCCAGCCAUGCCGCGUGAGUGAUGACGGCCUUAGGGUUGUAAAGCUCUUUCGCUAGGGACGAUAAUGACGGUACCUAGACAAGAACGCCCCGGCUAACUUCGUGCCAGCAGCCGC
rnacentral:rRNA from 1 species